rnacentral:rRNA from 1 species
GACGAACGCUUGCGGCGUGCUUAACACAUGCAAGUCGAACGGAAAGGCCCUGCUUUUGUGGGGUGCUCGAGUGGCGAACGGGUGAGUAACACGUGAGUAACCUGCCCUUGACUUUGGGAUAACUUCAGGAAACUGGGGCUAAUACCGGAUAGGAGCUCCUGCUGCAUGGUGGGGGUUGGAAAGUUUCGGCGGUUGGGGAUGGACUCGCGGCUUAUCAGCUUGUUGGUGGGGUAGUGGCUUACCAAGGCUUUGACGGGUAGCCGGCCUGAGAGGGUGACCGGCCACAUUGGGACUGAGAUACGGCCCAGACUCCUACGGGAGGCAGCAGUGGGGAAUAUUGCACAAUGGGCGGAAGCCUGAUGCAGCAACGCCGCGUGCGGGAUGACGGCCUUCGGGUUGUAAACCGCUUUCGCCUGUGACGAAGCGUGAGUGACGGUAAUGGGUAAAGAAGCACCGGCUAACUACGUGCCAGCAGCCGCGGUGAUACGUAGGGUGCGAGCGUUGUCCGGAUUUAUUGGGCGUAAAGGGCUCGUAGGUGGUUGAUCGCGUCGGAAGUGUAAUCUUGGGGCUUAACCCUGAGCGUGCUUUCGAUACGGGUUGACUUGAGGAAGGUAGGGGAGAAUGGAAUUCCUGGUGGAGCGGUGGAAUGCGCAGAUAUCAGGAGGAACACCAGUGGCGAAGGCGGUUCUCUGGGCCUUUCCUGACGCUGAGGAGCGAAAGCGUGGGGAGCGAACAGGCUUAGAUACCCUGGUAGUCCACGCUGUAAACGGUGGGUACUAGGUGUGGGGUCCAUUCCACGGGUUCCGUGCCGUAGCUAACGCUUUAAGUACCCCGCCUGGGAAGUACGGCCGCAAGGCUAAAACUCAAAGGAAUUGACGGGGCCCCGCACAAGCGGCGGAGCAUGCGGAUUAAUUCGAUGCAACGCGUAGAACCUUACCUGGGUUUGACAUGGAUCGGGAGUGCUCAGAGAUGGGUGUGCCUCUUUUGGGGUCGGUUCACAGGUGGUGCAUGCCUGUCGUCAGCUCGUGUCGUGAGAUGUUGGGUUAAGUCCCGCAACGAGCGCAACCCUUGUUCACUGUUGCCAGCACGUUAUGGUGGGGACUCAGUGGAGACCGCCGGGGUCAACUCGGAGGAAGGUGGGGAUGACGUCAAGUCCUCAUGCCCCUUAUGUCCAGGGCUUCACGCAUGCUACAAUGGCUGGUACAGAGAGUGGCGAGCCUGUGAGGGUGAGCGAAUCUCGGAAAGCCGGUCUCAGUUCGGAUUGGGGUCUGCAACUCGACCUCAUGAAGUCGGAGUCGCUAGUAAUCGCAGAUCAGCAACGCUGCGGUGAAUACGUUCCCGGGGCU